GACGAACGCUGGCGGCGUGCUUAACACAUGCAAGUCGAACGGAAAGGCCCUGCUUUUGUGGGGUGCUCGAGUGGCGAACGGGUGAGUAACACGUGAGUAACCUGCCCUUGACUUUGGGAUAACUUCAGGAAACUGGGGCUAAUACCGGAUAGGAGCUCCUGCUGCAUGGUGGGGGUUGGAAAGUUUCGGCGGUUGGGGAUGGACUCGCGGCUUAUCAGCUUGUUGGUGGGGUAGUGGCUUACCAAGGCUUUGACGGGUAGCCGGCCUGAGAGGGUGACCGGCCAAAUUGGGACUGAUAUACGGCCCAGACUCCUACGGGGGGCAGCAGUGGGGAAUAUUGCACAAUGGGCGGAAGCCUGAUGCAGCAACGCCGCGUGCGGGAUGACGGCCUUCGGGUUGUAAACCGCUUUCGCCUGUGACGAAGCGUGAGUGACGGUAAUGGGUAAAGAAGCACCGGCUAACUACGUG
rnacentral:rRNA from 1 species